GAUGAACGCUGGCGGCGUGCCUAAUACAAGCCAGUCGAGCGAACAGAUAAGGAGCUUGCUCCUUUGAAGUUAGCGGCGGACGGGUGAGUAACACGUGGGUAACCUACCUAUAAGACUGGGAUAACUUCGGGAAACCGGAGCUAAUACCGGAUAACAUUUAGAACCGCAUGGUUCUAAAGUGAAAGAUGGUUUUGCUAUCACUUAUAGAUAGACCCGCGCCGUAUUAGCUAGUUGGUAAGGUAACGGCUACCAAGGCGACGAUACGUAGCCGACCUGAGAGGGUGAUCGGCCACACUGGAACUGAGACACGGUCCAGACUCCUACGGGAGGCAGCAGUAGGGAAUCUUCCGCAAUGGGCGAAAGCCUGACGGAGCAACGCCGCGUGAGUGAUGAAGGGUUUCGGCUCGUAAAACUCUGUUAUUAGGGAAGAACAAAUGUGUAAGUAACUGUGCACAUCUUGACGGUACCUAAUCAGAAAGCCACGGCUAACUACGUG
rnacentral:rRNA from 1 species